UUGAGAUACUCAUGGGUAGGCCUUUCCCCACACCAUGGGCAAGAUGCCCCCUGGUAGUGCAGGAAGGGGACUUGGACCUGAUCAGAGAGGAGUAUGUUACUAAUCUGAUCAAGGUCCUCAGUAAAACUUGUAAGUCUCCUUCUCUUUCACAGGAACCAACCCAUCCAUUCCGGGUAGGCGACCAGGUGAUGAUCAAGAUCUUAAAGAAGGGAAAGGAACCAGGAAGCUUCACCUACCGAGAGUUCAAACUUCCAUGAUUGUCGACUAUUUUGCUUCAAGUUUAUGAAAGAUUAACUACACAUCCCGAAAGAUUAUUUUUGAAAAUAUUUAUUCAAAUUUAUUCAGAUAGAAUACUUAAAAUACACACAACAGUUAUUUAACAUUUAUAAUUACAUUUUUUUUAUUAGAGAAGAAAUCUUCAAAUUAAAU